rnacentral:rRNA from 1 species
RRKKCGCCCUURGAGUUUGAUCCUGGCUCAGAACGAACGCUGGCGGSGUGCUUAACACAUGCAAGUCGAACGUGAUCCAGAGCUUGCUCUGGUGAAAGUGGCGCACGGGUGAGUAACGCGUGGAUAACCUGCCCUGGUAUCUGGGAUAACAUCUCGAAAGGGGKGCUAAUACCGGAUAAGCCUACGGGAUCUUCGGAUUCUGCAGGAAAAGGAGGCCUCUAUUUAUAAGCUUCCGUAUCAUGAUGGGUCCGCGUACCAUUAGCUAGUUGGUGGGGUAAUGGCCUACCAAGGCGACGAUGGUUAGCUGGUCUGAGAGGAUGAUCAGCCACACUGGAACUGAGACACGGUCCAGACUCCUACGGGAGGCAGCAGUGGGGAAUUUUGCGCAAUGGGGAAACCCYGACSCAGCAACSCCSCGUGAGUGAUGAAGGCUUUCGGGYCGUAAAGCUCUGUCMGARGGGAAGAAAUGAAACGKGCUAAUAUCACGUUUUCUUGACSGKACCCUCAAAGGAAGCACCGGCUAACUCCGUGCCAGCAGCCGCGGUAAUAC